UACGGAGGGUGCAAGCGUUAAUCGGAAUUACUGGGCGUAAAGCGUGCGUAGGUGGUUCGUUAAGUCCGUUGUGAAAGCCCCGAGCUCAACUUGGGAAUUGCAGUGGAUACUGGCGAGCUAGAGUGCGGUAGAGGAAGGUGGAAUUCCCGGUGUAGCGGUGAAAUGCGUAGAGAUCGGGAGGAACACCAGUGGCGAAGGCGGCCUUCUGGACCAGCACUGACACUCAAGCACGAAAGCGUGGGGAGCAAACAGGG
rnacentral:rRNA from 1 species